UAUAAAUUAGAGCAGGAGAAAUAUAGCUUUGGGGUUAAAUUAGUCACGUCAGCAGUCACGUGACGUUAGCUUGCCAGCGAGCAAUCAAACAGGGAACGUAGCUAAUUUUAUUCCGGUAAUUUCACCCAAUCCAGGUUCAACAUUUGGACAGGUUUUUGACGGUUUUUCACAGCUUGGGGAUACUUACCUUAUUACCCAGAAUACAAAGAGUGUCUUUCCACUUUUCCCCGCACUGUGAAUAGGAAUAGCAGAGAGCAGCAGCGGUGUGUAAUUUACUCAGAACGAGGGGAUCCACAGACCGAGGAGGCUCCUGCUUUCUGCACAGGCGUUUCCAUUUCAGCAGUGAGAGGCCCCUUCAUUGUCAACAGUGAGAUAAAGUGCAUUGUCUCAUCAGACAGUUCCAGAGGCACCAUAGUGGUGACAGCCCAAAUGCUGUCUUUGUGUUCCCUCUGCGUCUCCAAGAUUAUAGCUUGAUUGGCGCAGGUUGCUGACAGGAGCCUGUCAGUAGUUCUUAUGUCUGAAGUGGAAUAUGUGCAAGUGAAGAGGUUAAUUACACAACAUUUAAGAACCUUCUUCCCCCCACCAUUCAUCCUGGAACCAAUCACAUCCUUGACGCUCGCUGAUCAAACGGAGCCUGGCAGCUCUGCGCCGUGGCAACAGUUGCCUUGAUGGUGGCUUGUCUGGCAGGGAGCGUGUGUCCUGCUGUUUGCCUAUUUGAAUUGGCUGGCAGGCUGGUACAAUCCCCUCUCUUUCACUGCUAUUCAUCCACAGCCAAAGAAGGUGGAGAAUAAAUGUGUUCCCUG
rnacentral:lncRNA from 1 species